CUAAAUCUGACUUAGUAGCUAGAAACCCUGUAAAUAUGGUCUUAGCAGACAUUAAGGGAAACAAAGCCAAGGCAACAUGACAAUGCCAAAUUUGCAAUUUCUACCAAUCCACUAAGCUAUCAGGCCUAGUUAGUCCAUCAUUCCUAACUUUGACAUUUCUGAACGACUGGCAUUUUCUGACAGUUUUGUUGUUUACCUGUCUAAAAACUAAGUACAGUUGGCUCUGUAUCUGUGGGUGUUCCACAUCCAUGAAUUCAACCGUGGAUAAAAAAUAUUCAGAAAAAGAAGGAUGGUUGUGUCUGUACUGAACAUGUACAGACAUUUUUCUUUUCAUUCUCUAAACAAUAGAGUAUAACAACUAUUUAGCAUUUACAGUGUAUUAUGUAUCGCAAGUGACCUAGAAAUAAUUUGAAGUAUAUGAGAAGAUGUGUGUAGAUUAUAUGCAAAUACAACGUCAUUUUAUGUAAGA
rnacentral:lncRNA from 10 species